rnacentral:rRNA from 1 species
UAGGGAAUAUUAGAAAUGGACGAAAGUCUGAUCUAGCAACACCGCGUGUGCGAAGAAGGCCUUCGGGUUGUAAAGCACUUUUUGAGAGGAUGAGGAAGGACGGUACUCUCAGAAUAAGUCUCGGCUAACUACGUGCCAGCAGCCGCGGUAACACGUAGGAGGCAAACGUUAUCCGGAUUUACUGGGCGUAAAGCGCGUGUAGGUGGUACUGUAAGUAGGGCGUGAAAGCUCCUGGCUCAACUGGGAGAGGCCGUUCUAAACUACAGAACUAGAGGAUGGUAGAGGGAGGUGGAACUCCAGGUGUAGCGGUGGAAUGCGCAGAUAUCUGGAGGAACACCGGUGGCGAAGGCGGCCUCCUGGACCAUUCCUGACACUCAGACGCGAAAGCUAGGGUAGCAAACG